ensembl:lncRNA
AUCACAACUAAAUUUUAUAGCAUUUCCAUCCCCAACUUUCAGUGCAUCUCCCCACACCCCUCAUGUUGAGUCUGUUUAGAUAAUUUGUGUUUUUCUAGGAAUUUGUCCAUUUCUUUUAGAUAAUUCAAUUUGUUGGUAUAUAAUUACUCACAGUGUUCUCUUAUAAUCCUUUCUAUUUCUUGAGGUCGUUAGUAAUGCCCCACUUUCAUUUUCGACUUUAGUUAUUUGCAUUUUUACUCUUUUAUCUUUGUCAAUCUAGGUUUGCUAACUUUGUUGAUCUUUCCAAAGAACCGUCUUUGGUUUGAUUAAUUCUAUUGUUUUAUUAUUGUCUAGUUUAUUUAUAUUCUCUCUAAUCUUUAUUAUUUCUCUUCUUUUGCUAGCUUUGGGUUUAGUUUUCUCUUCCAGUAUAAAGUUAGUUUAUUGAUGUGAUAUUCAUUUUAUGUUUAGGCAUUGAUAGCUGUAAAUUUCCCUUUGAGCACCGGCUUUGCUGCAGCCCAUAAGUUUUGGUGUGUUGCGGUAGUUUUUCAUUUAUCCCUGAGUAUUUUUCCAUUUCCCUUGUGAUUUCUCUUUUGAUGCACUGGUUGUUAAGAUUGUGUUGUUUAUCACAUAUUUGUGAAUUUUCCAGUUUUCUCUUUGUUAUUGAUUUCUGGCUUUUUUUCACUGUGAUCAGACAAGAUGCUUUGUAUGAUUUGAGUUCUUCUCAAUUUAUUGAGACUUGUUUCGUGACUUAAAAUAUGCUCCACCUUGGAGAAUGUUAUCGUCCACUCGGGAAAAUGUGUGUUCUUUUGCUGCGUAGGUGUUGUACAAGCUCUCCAUUUCCUUAUUGAUCUUCUGUAUAAUUGGUUUAUCCAUCAUUGCAUUUGACGUAUUGAAGUCUCCAGCUCUUAUUUGUAACUUUAUCUCUCUCUUCAAUUCUAUCAGGUUCUCACUUCAUAUAUUUUGGGGCUCUGUUUUUUGCUGCAUGCAUACCUAUAUAACGUUUUGUCUCUUUUAACAGUUUUUUCUUUAAAGAUUAUUUUGUCUGGUAUUAGUUUAGCCGUCUCAGCUCCCUUUUGGUUACUUUGUAUGGAAUAGCUUUUCAGUCUUUUCAUUUUCAACCCUAUUUGUGUUUGUGAGUCUAAAGUGAGUCUCUUGUUGACUACAUAUAGUUGGAUUAUGUUUUUUUAAAUUCAUUCGAUGAUCUCUACCUUUUGAUCGAAGAGUUUAAAGUAAUUACUGAUAAGAAAAAACCUACUGCUGCCGUCUUGCUAUUUGACCUCUGUAUCCUUAUACCUAUUUUGUCCUUAUACCUCAUUUCCUCCACUACUACCUUCUUUUGCGUUUCAUUGAUUUUUUUUAAUAGUAAACCAUUUAAUCCUCUUUUCAUUUCUUUUUUGUGUCUACAUUUUUAAAGAGAUUUUCCUUGUGGUUACCAUGGAGAUUAUAUUUAACAUCUUAAAUUUAAAAUAUUCUAUUUUGAGUUGCAACCAAUUUAUAUUUAAAAGCAUACAAACUGUUCCUAUACAAUUCUGUCCUCUCUGUUCUUUUUAUACUGUUGUUGUCACAAAUUGCACCUUUAUACAGUUGUGCCCAGAGAUAUAGAUUCAUAAAUAUAUUUUUAAAUUUUAUAGCAAAAAAGUAGAACUAUAAGCCAAAGUACAAUAAGACUUGCUUUUAUAUUUGUACAGGUAUUUACCUUCACUGGACAUCUUUGUUACUUUACACAGCUUUGAUUGCUUUCUAGUGUUAUUUCGUUUCUAGCUGAGGGACUACCUUUAACACUUUUUGUAGGGCAAGCCUAGAGGUAAUGAACUCCCAGAUUUUGUUUUUCUGGGAAUGUCUAAUUUCGACCACAUUUGAAAUGGCUGUCUUCUUAGAUGUAGAAUUCUCUGUUUAACAGGUUUUUUUUUUUCUUUCAGCACUUUAAACAUGGCAGUGCUCUGUCUUUUGGCUUCCAAGAGUUCUGAUGAUAAAUUGGCUAUUUAUCUUAUUGAGGCUUCUGUGGAUUUGAUGAGUUUGUGGAUUUUUUUGUUGCUUUCAAUAUUCUCUUUUUGUCUUUGUCUUUUAAUAGUUUAAUUAUAAUGUAGCUCACACAGAUUUCUUUGAGUUUAACCUAUUUGGAGUUCAUUGAACAUCCUAGAUUUGUAGGUUCGUGUCUUUCAUCAAAUUUGGACCAUUUUUUACUAUUAUUUUUUCAAAUGUUCUUUCUGCCCUUUCUCUCCUUCUGGGACUUCGAUAUGCAUAUGCUGGCUCACUUGAUGGUGCUCCAUCAGGCCCCUUGGGCUCCAUUCACUUUUCUUUUUUCUUUUUACUUGUUCAGACUGAAUAAUUUUCAUUAUCCUGUCUUAAGUUUGCUGAUCUGUCUGCCUUGCUCAAACCUGCUGUUGAAUCUCUCUAGUGAAUUUCCAUUUUAACUAUUACAUGUCGCUCCAGAAUUUAUUUUUGGUGCCUCUUAUGUUUUUAAAAUCUUUUUAUGGAUAUUCUCAUUUUGUUUACACAUCAUUUUUUGGGGAUUUGCUUUAGUUCUUUGUCUAUGUUUUUCUUUAGGUCAUUGAGAAUAUUCAAAACAUUUUUUAAAAAUCUUUAAUAAGUCUGAUUUCUAAACCUCCACAGAGAUGAUUUCUGUCAAUUAUUUUGUUCUUUUGAAUGGGCCAUGCUUUCCUGUUUCUUUGCAUGCGUUUUUUUGUUGUUGCCACUGCUGCUGCUAAAAAUGACAUUUGAAUAUUACAAAAUGCUAACACUGGAAAUCAGAUUCUACUUUCCCCACAGCCUGAUAGGUUUUUUUUUUUUUUAUUGUUGAAAAUUGUCCAUUUGUUUUGAGACGUCUCACACUGUUAUUUCAAAGACUGUAUUCUCCGAUGAUGUGUUCACUGAAGCCUCUGGUCAGCUUGUGUUCAGCUAGUGUUUUGACAGAGAUUUCCUGGAACACAAGGUACUGAGAAAACAAACAAACAAACAAACACACACACAGAGAUGCAGAAAGAGUGGCAGAGACAUACAGACAGAUAUAGAGAAAGGGAGACAGAGACAGAGAGAUGGAGUCACAGAGACAGAGAAAGAGAGAAAGAUAGACCUCUCACAAUCUUUGAAAAUUGGUGCUGUGCCAGGACUCGCCUUUAGCUACUAGCUAGCUAGUCUUGCACUGAAUAAACCCAAGGUGAAGGUUUAGGGUCUUCUAAGGUCUUUUCUGAGCAUGCAUUUUGGCUGGGCAUAUGUGUUGCAUUCUAAAUUAUUUAGCAUACACAGUUGCUUUUGAAUGUUCUAGUUUCCCUAAGAAACUCCUCAGCUUAUGCUAUAAGCAAGUUAUUGUGUGGUUACUAAAAUAUUUUGCCUCAAAUGAUUUAUCUAGUGUAGUUUUAUCUCUUUGUAUGGUUUUUUUUUUUUAAAAUGAAUGCUCUAGGGACCAGAAUACACAUAUUUUACUUUUCACAGUCAAGUUAUAACCACCAUUUUACCACUUCCAAUGGGAUGUAGGAACCUCCUCACCUCACCACAUAGGGUUCUUUACCCACCUGCCCUCAUCUUUAUGUUGCUGUUGUCUUAUAUAUUACAUCUACACACUGAGAACCCAAUUGGACAACGUUUUAAUUCUUGCCUUCAACUGCCAUACUUCUAAAGAACUCGAGAGGAGAGGAAGAGCCUAUUACAUUUACCCAGAUGUUCCAGGGUUCUUUCUUGUAUCAUUUCCCUCUGUCUAAAGAACCCCGUUUAGAAUUUCUUUUAUAACAGACCUGUUGCCAGUGAAUUCUAAUUUUUCUUCAGCUGGAAAUGUCUUUAUUUCAUCUUAAUUCUUGAAAGAUAUUUUUCACUGGAUAUAGAAUUCUGAGUUGACAUUCCUUUUCUUUCAGCACUUAAAAAAUGCUUCUCUUUCUUUGGCCUCCAUGAUGAGAAAUCUGCAUUCAUUUGAAUCCCUUAUUCUCCUAGAAGUAGUGUGUCAUUUUACUCUGGUUGCUUUCAAAGUUUUUUCUUUGUUUUUAGUUUCCAUUUGUGUAAUUAUGAUAUGACUGAGUGUGCAUUUCUUCAGGUUUAUCAUAUUUGGCAUUCACUGAGUUUCUUAAAACUCAAAAGACAUGGAAGUUUCUGUCUUUUGUUACAUCCUGGUUCUUUUUUUUUUUUUUUUUGGCUUUUUAGGGCUGCACCCGUGGCACAUGGAGGUUCCUAGGCUAGAGGUCCAGUUGGAGCUACACCUUGCCAGCCUACACCACAGCCUCAGCAACUUGGGAUCUGAGCUGCAUCUGUGACCUACACCACAGCUCACGGCAAUGCUGGAUCCUUAACCCACUGAGCGAGGCCAGGGAUCAAACCCGCAACCUCCUGGCUCCUAGUCGGGUUUAUUUCUGUUGUGCCAUGAUGGGAACUCCAUUUUUUCAGAAUGAUUGCUCUUGAUCCUUCUUUGACUUCAUUGUCUCCGUCAUCUUCAUUUGGCUCUUGAGCCACAACUGAGUUUUAAUCUUUUCCAUGAUUGUAUUCUUCAGUUACACCUUUUUCCAUUAGUUUUCAACUUAUGUCUUCUGUUUCAUUAAUGAGACUUUCUGUCUUUUCAUUUAUUUCAAGAGCAUGACCCCUUACUUCUUGAAGCAUUUUCAUGGAUUUAAAAUCUCGCCAGGUAAUAUCAACAUCUGUCGUCUCAACACUGUUGUCUGUUGAUUAUUUUUUCCAUCCAACUUGAGAUUUUUCUAGUUUUUAGGACAAGAAUUUUUUUUCUUUUUAUGGCUGCACCAGUGGCAUUUGAGUUCCUGGGCUAGACACUGAAUUGGAGCUGCAGCUGUGGCGUAUGCCACAUGCACACCACCACCAGAUCCUUAAUCCAAUAAGCCAGGCCAGGGGUCAAACCUGCAUCCUCGCAGAAGCAACGUCGGAUCCUUAACGCACUGAGCCACAAUGGGAACUCCAAAACGAGCCAUUUUGGAUUGCAUCCUGGAUAAUUUGAAAAUUACGUUAUGGGACUCCAGGUCUUAUUUAAAUUCUACGGAAAUCGCAUAUAUGUUUAAGGCCGUAUCUACACAUGCACAUUUCAAGGGUGGUCCCAGAAAGUUCAUCAGCAACUUUACGGAUUUGCUUUCCUGAGACCCUCCUUUUUCUCAGUGUUCCUGUGCUUUCCGUUCCCUGGAGCUCCCCAUUCAAUCCUUCAUCAGAAAUGGGGAUUUACUUACCUCCUCAGCUUACGCUUCAUGCUGCUUAUCAUGUGUCUAAGACCAACGCAGGAGAGGAGAGAGAAGGGAAGCAGUGAUGUGGGCGUCCCUCUUCCAGCACAGCCCCUCCAGAUGGACAGGACGCUCUACUCCCUCCGGUUGGAGGCUCCUGUGGGCUGGCCCUUGUUACUGCUGUUGCCACUGCUGCCCCAUAGAAUUGCUUCGAGGUUGGGAUGUGUGGGACUAGAUGAAAAAAAAACAAACCAAAACCGGAGGUUUCUGAGCAUUAGGAGUCCCUUUCCAUUACGCAGUCUGGAAUGACACAGCUUCUUCUGGAGCCUUCUCUAUCUGUGCUCUGAACUUUGGACUGUAGGCUACAUUGAGUCCAGGCUGGAUGAUACUGAAGGAAAAACAUAUUCAGCUCACUGCUGGUUUUGGGAUACCGCAAGUUCUGCUGCUCUUCAGAGGGUGCCUGCUGCUGCUUAUUUUCAGGGACCCCACUUACUUGCUCCAUGCAUUGUACUCAGGUCUUGUUUUGCAUAUAUAGUUGCGUUUAGUGGAGAGACAAGGUGCAGUGUGCUUACUCCAUUAGAACAGAAACCGUAUUUUACAUUUGUAACUUUUCACAUUCUAAUUACAAUUACUAUUUUAAAACUUCACAUAAAAUGUAGAAAUCUUGCAAUUACAGGUCCAUGUUUUUCCCACCCUACAUUCCUUAUAGCUGUUAAGUAUGUUUUACCUACGCAUACUGUGAACUCUACAAGUUACUCUUAC